rnacentral:rRNA from 1 species
AUGAACGCUAGCUACAGGCUUAACACAUGCAAGUCGAGGGGCAGCAUGGUCUUAGCUUGCUAAGGCCGAUGGCGACCGGCGCACGGGUGAGUAACACGUAUCCAACCUGCCGUCUACUCUUGGACAGCCUUCUGAAAGGAAGAUUAAUACAAGAUGGCAUCAUGAGUCCGCAUGUUCACAUGAUUAAAGGUAUUCCGGUAGACGAUGGGGAUGCGUUCCAUUAGAUAGUAGGCGGGGUAACGGCCCACCUAGUCUUCGAUGGAUAGGGGUUCUGAGAGGAAGGUCCCCCACAUUGGAACUGAGACACGGUCCAAACUCCUACGGGAGGCAGCAGUGAGGAAUAUUGGUCAAUGGGCGAGAGCCUGAACCAGCCAAGUAGCGUGAAGGAUGACUGCCCUAUGGGUUGUAAACUUCUUUUAUAAAGGAAUAAAGUCGGGUAUGGAUACCCGUUUGCAUGUACUUUAUGAAUAAGGAUCGGCUAACUCCGUGCCAGCAGCCGCGGUAAUACGGAGGAUCCGAGCGUUAUCCGGAUUUAUUGGGUUUAAAGGGAGCGUAGAUGGAUGUUUAAGUCAGUUGUGAAAGUUUGCGGCUCAACCGUAAAAUUGCAGUUGAUACUGGAUAUCUUGAGUGCAGUUGAGGCAGGCGGAAUUCGGGGUGUAGCGAUGAAAUGCUUAGAUAUCACGAAGAACUCCGAUUGCGAAGGCAGCCUGCUAAGCUGCAACUGACAUUGAGGCUCGAAAGUGUGGGUAUCAAACAGGAUUAGAUACCCUGGUAGUCCACACGGUAAACGAUGAAUACUCGCUGUUUGCGAUAUACAGCAAGCGGCCAAGCGAAAGCGUUAAGUAUUCCACCUGGGGAGUACGCCGGCAACGGUGAAACUCAAAGGAAUUGACGGGGGCCCGCACAAGCGGAGGAACAUGUGGUUUAAUUCGAUGUUACGCGAGGAACCUUACCCGGGCUUAAAUUGCAGAUGAAUUACGGUGAAAGCCGUAAGCCGCAAGGCAUCUGUGAAGGUGCUGCAUGGUUGUCGUCAGCUCGUGCCGUGAGGUGUCGGCUUAAGUGCCAUAACGAGCGCAACCCUUGUUGUCAGUUACUAACAGGUUCCGCUGAGGACUCUGACAAGACUGCCAUCGUAAGAUGUGAGGAAGGUGGGGAUGACGUCAAAUCAGCACGGCCCUUACGUCCGGGGCUACACACGUGUUACAAUGGGGGGUACAGAGGGCCGCUACCACGCGAGUGGAUGCCAAUCCCCAAAACCUCUCUCAGUUCGGACUGGAGUCUGCAACCCGACUCCACGAAGCUGGAUUCGCUAGUAAUCGCGCAUCAGCCACGGCGCGGUGAAUACGUUCCCGGGCCUUGUACACACCGCCCGUCAAGCCAUGGGAGCCGGGGGUACCUGAAGUGCGUAACCGCGAGGAGCGCCCUAGGGUAAAACUGGUGACUGGGGCU